CAGCAGGAAUGGUGGUGGAAUCCGUGUAAUUCGUAUAUGUUGCGUCCACUUCUUGGCUGACCAAUUAAAGGGAUUCCACUCUCACUCCGCGUAUGGCUGACGUGCGUAGUUCGGCGCUAAGGAGUUAAUCCCUGCUAUCAGCGAAGAAAAGCGCUAACGCCAGGUGCUGGACCAUGCUCUGUGUUUAUGUGUGUACACGACCGUUCAAAGGAUUUGAUAGUAGUAGUUGGUUUCGGUGUUUUUUUCUCCUUCUGUGUGAUAUGAUGUGGUUAUGGAUAAAGAUUUUCAUCCGUUUGAUGCCGAUGAUAAACCUCGCAGGAUAACGUUCGAGAAAAAAAAAUUACAUAUGGACACACGCACGUACACACGCAUACUAAGGAUGGACACAUACGGCCACAAGGACACGCGGACUGACGUUCUUUCGGGCUGGUUGGAGAUCAGUGGUGUUGGCCGGGGGCACUUGAGACAACACAAACACAGACACGCACUGGGUCCGCAACCGAGCGUAAAUUCGUCACUGAGAUGAUGCACCAAAAAAAAAACAAA